rnacentral:rRNA from 1 species
GAUUCGUCACACUAUCAUUAACUGAAUCCAUAGGUUAAUGAGGCGAACCGGGGGAACUGAAACAUCUAAGUACCCCGAGGAAAAGAAAUCAACCGAGAUUCCCCCAGUAGCGGCGAGCGAACGGGGAGGAGCCCAGAGCCUGAAUCAGCAUGUGUGUUAGUGGAAGCGUCUGGAAAGGCGCGCGAUACAGGGUGACAGCCCCGUACACAAAAGCGCAUGUGCUGUGAGCUCGAUGAGUAGGGCGGGACACGUGGUAUCCUGUCUGAAUAUGGGGGGACCAUCCUCCAAGGCUAAAUACUCCUGACUGACCGAUAGUGAACCAGUACCGUGAGGGAAAGGCGAAAAGAACCCCGGCGAGGGGAGUGAAAAAGAACCUGAAACCGUGUACGUACAAGCAGUGGGAGCACAGGUUUACCUGUGUGACUGCGUACCUUUUGUAUAAUGGGUCAGCGACUUAUAUUCUGUAGCAAGGUUAACCGUAUAGGGGAGCCGUAGGGAAACCGAGUCUUAACCGGGCGUUAAGUUGCAGGGUAUAGACCCGAAACCCGGUGAUCUAGCCAUGGGCAGGUUGAAGGUUGGGUAACACUAACUGGAGGACCGAACCGACUAAUGUUGAAAAAUUAGCGGAUGACCUGUGGCUGGGGGUGAAAGGCCAAUCAAACCGGGAGAUAGCUGGUUCUCCCCGAAAGCUAUUUAGGUAGCGCCUCGUGAAUUCAUCUCCGGGGGUAGAGCACUGUUUCGGCUAGGGGGCCAUCCCGGCUUACCAACCCGAUGCAAACUGCGAAUACCGGAGAAUGUUAUCACGGGAGACACACGGCGGGUGCUAACGUCCGUCGUGAAGAGGGAAACAACCCAGACCGCCAGCUAAGGUCCCAAAGUCAUGGUUAAGUGGGAAACGAUGUGGGAAGGCCCAGACAGCCAGGAUGUUGGCUUAGAAGCAGCCAUCAUUUAAAGAAAGCGUAAUAGCUCACUGGUCGAGUCGGCCUGCGCGGAAGAUGUAACGGGGCUAAACCAUGCACCGAAGCUGCGGCAGCGAACGUAUCACCCAAGACAACUUUACGGAGUUGACGAUUGACGGAGCGAAGCGACGUCAAAGCGUUCAUUAAAGUCGAGUUGGCUUAGGGAUACGUUCGUUGGGUAGGGGAGCGUUCUGUAAGCCUGUGAAGGUGUGUCGUGAGGC